rnacentral:ncRNA from 2 species
AAAAAUUCCGCGGGUUCAAGUUCCGGCCCGCAAGCCGGAUGAAAAGGGAACACGGAACGGCCCCCUUGGGCCUAAGCCGUGGCUGCCCCCGCAACUGUGAGCGGCGAGCGACGUCAUCCAUGCCACUGGGCCGAAUGGUCCGGGAAGGCCGACCGAGCAACGACCCGCGAGCCAGGAGACCUGCUUGAACCAUCACCCUUUC